rnacentral:rRNA from 1 species
CGGGCGCGGGGCCGGUCUAAGUCUCUUGGAACGGGGCGUCAUAGAGGGUGAGAAUCCCGUAUGUGACCGGCGACCAAGCCUAUGUGAAGCUCCUUCGACGAGUCGAGUUGUUUGGGAAUGCAGCUCUAAAUGGGUGGUAAGUUUCAUCUAAAGCUAAAUAUCGGCCAGAGACCGAUAGCGCACAAGUAGAGUGAUCGAAAGAUGAAAAGCACUUUGGAAAGAGAGUUAAACAGUACGUGAAAUUGUUGAAAGGGAAGCGCUUGCAACCAGACCUGCCCGGGGGCGAUCAGCCGUCGUUCUCGGCGGUGCACUCGCUCUCGAUCAGGCCAGCAUCGGUUCGGGUGGCCGGAUAAAGGCCGGGGGAAUGUAGCUCCUCUCGGGGAGUGUUAUAGCCCUCGGCGGAAUGCGGCCAGCCUGGACCGAGGACCGCGCUUCGGCUAGGAUGCUGGCGUAAUGAUUGCAAGCGGCCCGUCUUGAAACACGGACCAAGGAGUCUAACAUCUAUGCGAGUGUUUGGGCAUCAAACCCACACGCGUAAUGAAAGUGAACGGAGGUGAGACCCCGUCGCCGGGCGCAUCAUCGACCGAUCCAGAUGUCUUCGGAUGGAUUUGAGUACGAGCAUAAAUGUUGGGACCCGAAAGAUGGUGAACUAUGCCUGAAUAGGGUGAAGCCAGAGGAAACUCUGGUGGAGGCUCGCAGCGGUUCUGACGUGCAAAUCGAUCGUCAAAUUUGGGUAUAGGGGCGAAAGACUUAUCGAACCAUC